rnacentral:misc_RNA from 1 species
CCGCGUGUCUACCGGACUAGGUAGAGAGAGGAGUGUAGUUGGGUCUGUUCCUCCGUGACGGUGGUUGAUUGCGAUGGUAGUCGCGUAGUGGUAGUCGUGAAGAAUGAAGAGGGGGAGGAGAAAUGGGAGGGGGAGGGGCAGGAGGAGGAGGAGGAAAGGGCAGUGGGGGUGGUGAUGGUUCUUGGUGGUGGUCGAGGCACCGCGCGCUCGUCGUCGUUGCCCACUCUUCUUUCGGUGGUAGUUCGGUCAGAACCGUCUGGAGGUCCGAUGCUGUUGUAUUGGUGACGUGUCACGAUGUGUCGGUGACUAGUGGUGGCUAAGCCAGGACAGCAGCAGCAACAGCGGCGGCGGCAGCAGCAGCAG